CCGCCUAAUUUUUUUCUUGCGAUAAACAUUUGUUUUGCAAUAUGUCGCUUAGAUAUUUGGUAUAUGAUAUCGAACAAUUGAUGUGCUUUUGAAAUUUACCCUGCGUAACCGAAAACUUUUCUUUGUAGGAGUAAUCUCCCCAAACACUGUUUUCCUUGUGAGCGCAACUCCUUCGCAAACGUAAAAUAUUAUGACAAAUUUAUUUUACAAAAUUGCUCGUUAUAUCCUUUGCAUGAUUUGUCCUAUUUUGACCGAAGUGAUAUGAAUGCUCCAUACGAGAGUUAUUUCCCCUUAUUCAUUUGAUAUAAGUGAAUUGCAUUUCUAACUGGUAAACCAUAAUUGAU
rnacentral:lncRNA from 1 species